rnacentral:rRNA from 1 species
CCUACGGGAGGCAGCAGUGGGGAAUUUUGGACAAUGGGCGCAAGCCUGAUCCAGCCAUGCCGCGUGAGUGAAGAAGGCCUUCGGGUUGUAAAGCUCUUUCGGCAGGAACGAAAUGGUUCGUGCUAAUACCACGGACUGAUGACGGUACCUGAAGAAGAAGCACCGGCUAACUACGUGCCAGCAGCCGCGGUAAUACGUAGGGUGCAGGCGUUAAUCGGAAUUACUGGGCGUAAAGCGUGCGCAGGCGGUUUCUUAAGUCAGAUGUGAAAGCCCCGGGCUUAACCUGGGAACUGCGUUUGAAACUGGGAGACUUGAGUGUGGCAGAGGGGGGUGGAAUUCCACGUGUAGCAGUGAAAUGCGUAGAUAUGUGGAGGAACACCGAUGGCGAAGGCAGCCCCCUGGGCUAACACUGACGCUCAUGCACGAAAGCGUGGGGAGCAAACAGGAUUAGAUACCCUGGUAGUCCACGCCCUAAACUAUGUCAACUGGUUGUCGGGAGAUUAACUCUCUUGGUAACGAAGCUAACGCGUGAAGUUGACCGCCUGGGGAGGACGGCGCGAGUAACGUUACGAAGUAGAGUUAGAGCGNGNGAGNGCGAGGACGACGACGAGGAGGAGG